AGCUUGCUACCUGACCUAGCGGCGGACGGGUGAGUAAUGCUUAGGAAUCUGCCUAUUAGUGGGGGACAACAUUCCGAAAGGAAUGCUAAUACCGCAUACGCCCUACGGGGGAAAGCAGGGGAUCUUCGGACCUUGCGCUAAUAGAUGAGCCUAAGUCAGAUUAGCUAGUUGGUGGGGUAAAGGCCUACCAAGGCGACGAUCUGUAGCGGGUCUGAGAGGAUGAUCCGCCACACUGGGACUGAGACACGGCCCAGACUCCUACGGGAGGCAGCAGUGGGGAAUAUUGGACAAUGGGCGAAAGCCUGAUCCAGCCAUGCCGCGUGUGUGAAGAAGGCCUUUUGGUUGUAAAGCACUUUAAGCGAGGAGGAGGCUACUUGGAUUAAUACUCUAGGAUAGUGGACGUUACCCGCAGAAUAAGCACCGGCUAACUCUGUGCCAGCAGCCGCGGUAAUACAGAGGGUGCGAGCGUUAAUCGGAUUUACUGGGCGUAAAGCGUGCGUAGGCGGCUUUUUAAGUCGGAUGUGAAAUCCNUGAGCUUAACUUAGGAAUUGCAUUCGAUACUGGGAAGCUAGAGUAUGGGAGAGGAUGGUAGAAUUCCAGGUGUAGCGGUGAAAUGCGUAGAGAUCUGGAGGAAUACCGAUGGCGAAGGCAGCCAUCUGGCCUAAUACUGACGCUGAGGUACGAAAGCAUGGGGAGCAAACAGGAUUAGAUACCCUGGUAGUCCAUGCCGUAAACGAUGUCUACUAGCCGUUGGGGCCUUUGAGGCUUUAGUGGCGCAGCUAACGCGAUAAGUAGACCGCCUGGGGAGUACGGUCGCAAGACUAAAACUCAAAUGAAUUGACGGGGGCCCGCACAAGCGGUGGAGCAUGUGGUUUAAUUCGAUGCAACGCGAAGAACCUUACCUGGUCUUGACAUAGUAAGAACUUUCCAGAGAUGGAUUGGUGCCUUCGGGAACUUACAUACAGGUGCUGCAUGGCUGUCGUCAGCUCGUGUCGUGAGAUGUUGGGUUAAGUCCCGCAACGAGCGCAACCCUUUUCCUUAUUUGCCAGCGGGUUAAGCCGGGAACUUUAAGGAUACUGCCAGUGACAAACUGGAGGAAGGCGGGGACGACGUCAAGUCAUCAUGGCCCUUACGACCAGGGCUACACACGUGCUACAAUGGUCGGUACAAAGGGUUGCUACCUAGCGAUAGGAUGCUAAUCUCAAAAAGCCGAUCGUAGUCCGGAUUGGAGUCUGCAACUCGAC
rnacentral:rRNA from 1 species